UACGAGAGGUGCAAGCGUUAUUCGGAAUUAUUGGGCGUAAAGGGUGCGUAGGCGGCAUGUUAAGUCAACUGUUAAAAGCCCUGGCCUAACUGGGGAAAUGCGGUAGAUACUGGCAUGCUAGAGGGUGGAAGAGAGAAGUGGAAUUCUUGGAGUAGCGGUAAAAUGCGUAGAUCUCAAGAGGAACACCGAUGGCGAAGGCAGCUUCUUGGUCCAUUUCUGACGCUAAUGCACGAAAGCGUGGGGAGCAAACAGGAUUAGAUACCCUGGUAGUCCACGCUGUAAACGAUGAUCACUAGACGUUAAUUCUGCUUUGCAGAAUUAGUGUCGCAGCUAACGCGAUAAGUGAUCCGCCUGGGAAGUACGGUCGCAAGAUUAAA
rnacentral:rRNA from 1 species